GAUGAACGCUGGCGGCGUGCUUAACACAUGCAAGUCGAACGGAAAGGCUCCUGCUUGCAGGGGUACUCGAGUGGCGAACGGGUGAGUAACACGUGGGUGAUCUGCCCUGCACUUCGGGAUAAGCCUGGGAGACUGGGUCUAAUACCGGAUAGGACGAUGGUUUGGAUGUCAUUGUGGAAAGUUUGUUCGGUGUGGGAUGAGUUGGAGGCCUAUCCGCUUGUUGGUGGGGUAUUGGCCUACGAAGGCGUCGCCGGGUAGCCGGCCUGGGAGGGGGUACGGCCACAAGGGGACUGAGGGACGGCGCAGACGGCGACGGGAGGCAGCGGGGGGGAGUAUUGCGCAGUGGGGGCAAGCCUGAUGCAGCGGCGCCGGGUGGGGGAUGACGGCCUUCGAGUGGUAAACACCUGUCGCUAGGGACGAAGCGCAAGUGACGGUACCUGGAGAAGAAGCACCGGCUAACUACGUG
rnacentral:rRNA from 1 species